UAAGCCAUCUUGAUGGAUCUGCGAACCCUAAGCAGAUCGCCCUUUGCGCGCCGCUCUGCCAACCAGCGUUUGGAGGCUCCGGUUCCUCACAAAGGAUCGACCACCAGUACGGGGUACGGCGUCAAGGACGUGGCACAUACGGAGGCCAGCUGGGGCGAAGCACGCGCAUGGAGGUGCAGCACGCGCGGAAGAGGCCCUGGGUUCGACGGCGGCGUCACUAGUUGCUGAAAGCUAGGGUUUCGGUUCUGGGGAAUGCUUUGGGCUAGGUUGGGCCAGGGUUAGCUAAUUAGGUUUAGUGGGUUAGGUUCGUAUUGGGCUUGGGUAGAAAAUGAUUAGGCUUAGUGGGUUAAGUUACCAUUGUAAUUGGGUUAAAAUGAUUUUGUUUUGGUUUGGAUUUGUAAAAAAACUAGACAUUUAUUAUUGUUUAUUUUUAUAUUUUAUUUGGGUUUUAAUUUUGGGCUCGGGCCGGGCAAAAUUUGGGUGUUACAUUUAUUUUUUAUUGUUAUUCUUUUAUUUUUGGCUAUAAAAAGCCAAUUGUAACACUGAAAGGGGGAUCUUUUUUUUUAAAAAAAAUUGAAUAGAGAAAGCAAAAAAGUUUCAGAGAAGCAAAAAAAGCAAAAAACCAAAGGUGAUUGCAGUGUUCCUUUUUGUCUCUGGUUUAUUCUUUUCUAUUUAUUUAUUCAGCAAUUAUGGAAAAAAAAAAGGGGGAGGAAUAAGAGAGGAGAAGGAAAACUUACCAUCGGGGGGCACCAAUGAAGCCCUCCCUCCGAGCAAAACGGAGUUUACGGGCAGAGGUAAAGGUGAAGCGGCAGAAAAAGGGAAGCUAGAGGCUGUGCUCUCCGUUCUUCUGCGAGUUUGAGAGGAAUUUUACCUUUGCUCGCCGUUGGAGCCAUCUUCUACUCUGUCCGAAUCGGAAUGAGAGAGGAGAGCCCAGGCUUUCAAGGCGGCGGAGAAGGGAGGGGCAUCGUUUAGGGUUUAUUCCCUUGUUGUUGUUGUUUUUUUUCUGACUGAAUGAACCUUGUUUAGGGUUUAUUUAUUUAUUUAUAUCAUUCAUCCAAGCGGCACCGUUUUGUUGGCUAUCGACCCGCGUGGUGACCCGAUCCAGGGAAAGAUCCGCGCACUUUGGUCGUUUGGUCUAUUUGCGCAUACGGUCCCCUUGGUUUUAUAAUUUAUCUCUAAAUCAUUUUAUCUAUUUCACCUUAUUUUAUUUUA